rnacentral:rRNA from 1 species
UACGGAGGGGGCAAGCGUUGUUCGGAAUUACUGGGCGUAAAGGGCGCGCAGGCGGCUGCUCAAGUCAGGCGUGAAAGGCCUGGGCUCAACCCGGGAAUUGCGCUUGAGACUGGGCUGGCUUGAGUGCGGGAGAGGAUGGUGGAAUUCCCAGUGUAGAGGUGAAAUUCGUAGAUAUCGGAAGGAACACCAGUGGCGAAAGCGGCUUCCUGGUCCAGCACCGACGUUCAGGCACGAAAGCGUGGGGAGCAAACAGG